UACGAAGGGGGCUAGCGUUGUUCGGAGUUACUGGGCGUAAAGAGUGCGUAGGCGGUUUUCUAAGUUUGGUGUGAAAUCUCCCGGCUUAACUGGGAGGGUGCGCCGAAGACUGGAAGGCUUGAGUAUGGGAGAGGUAAGCGGAAUUCCUGGUGUAGCGGUGAAAUGCGUAGAUAUCAGGAGGAACACCUGCGGUGUAGACGGCUUACUGGACCAUAACUGACGCUGAGGCACGAAAGCGUGGGUAGCAAACAGG
rnacentral:rRNA from 1 species